GUCUUUGCAUGUCAGGAGCAAAUAACCAAGUCCAUUCUAAGAAAUGGAUUUCUGAAUAUUACCCAGAAAAUGAUGCAUGAUUUUGUUUCCAAUCAAAAUAUCAUACCUAACCCAAUCUAUCAAAUAGGCAAAGACCAAAGUUCAAAUCACCAAAGCCCAUCAGAGUACCCACAAGAAAAAUACUUGUAUCAACCAUUUUGUCCACUUGACUAUGCCUAUCGAGGCUUAGAUAGACGAGAAUAGUCUGUACUCACAUUGUUGUGUAUACACAAAACAGAGGUUGUCCUCUCCCUGCCACUGGCGGAUCCAGG
rnacentral:lncRNA from 1 species